CAUUUCCUUGUCUGUUCUUCUGUAGGAGAAAAGUCCUUUCAGUGAUGGGAUAAAAUGUCAGAAGAAAAUGUUUCGCCAUAAGCCGUCUGUGUGUGACCUGAAGGCAAGUGACAAACAGAUUCUGACUCUAGAGAGAGUGACGUUGGCUGUAGAUGUGCUGACAAACAUGACUGAAUCUCCACUGAGUGAAUUUGUUUCCCAACCGCUUGAGUUUUUCCGGAGCCUGGAAGAUGAUCUGAAGCACUGUGUAAGUUCAAAUAGUCAAUAUGAUCAGUAACCGUCCCCAUAGGCAAUUGUUUUCUAUCGACCCAAGCCUGUCGGACAAGAUGGAUGUACAGUGUCAAUGCUCUGUAUUACGCACACUCAUUAUAAUCUGCUAGAAACUGGGGCUUAUGCAUGGAAUACUGUCUCUACUGAUGUAAAAUGCAGGUAUUCAAUGUAACUGUCUCCUACAGAUAUAUCAACCCUUUAUUUUCUUACAAUCUCUAUUUUCCAUUCCAGAGAAAGUCUCCAUAUUACAGUGAUUCUCCCUCCCAAAAGCUGAUGCCUUGGCUGAACCAUCUCAAGCAUUUCAGAGAAAGGGUUUCCGCUCAGUGUGUCCAGGAUGCCGUGUUGCUCAGCCUAAUCCAGUUGCUAAUUGAAGAUGUGAUGUGUUGGGCUAAUAAGGAAUAAUGCCCGCUCUCUCCAGGAGCAGAGUCAAUCAAAUCCAUAAGGAGAGAUUAUCCCACAAGCUUUCCUCACAUUGAGUGUGGGCAGAGCCCAGCUUCUUACACCUCUACCUGCUAUUAUUGUGGGAAUCGGACUGAAUCAACCUACACUUAUUAAAUGAGAAGCUGCUUGUUUCAAGGCAUUCUCUAUAUUUAA